GAUGAACGCUGGCGGCGUGCCUAAUACAUGCAAGUCGAGCGAACGGACGAGAAGCUUGCUUCUCUGAUGUUAUCGGCGGACGGGUGAGUAACACGUGGAUAACCUACCUAUAAGACUGGGAUAACUUCGGGAAACCGGAGCUAAUACCGGAUGAUAUUUUGAACCGCAUGGUUCAAAAGCGAAAGACGGUCUUGCUGUCACUUAUAGAUGGAUCCGCGCUGCAUUAGCUAGUUGGUAAGGUAACGGCUUACCAAGGCAACGAUGCAUAGCCGACCUGAGAGGGUGAUCGGCCACACUGGAACUGAGACACGGUCCAGACUCCUACGGGAGGCAGCAGUAGGGAAUCUUCCGCAAUGGGCGAAAGCCUGACGGAGCAACGCCGCGUGAGUGAUGAAGGUCUUCGGAUCGUAAAACUCUGUUAUUAGGGAAGAACAUAUGUGUAAGUAACUGUGCACAUCUUGACGGUACCUAAUCAGAAAGCCACGGCUAACUACGUG
rnacentral:rRNA from 1 species